GAUGAAGAACGCAGCGAAAUGCGAUAAGUAAUGUGAAUUGCAGAAUUCAGUGAAUCAUCGAAUCUUUGAACGCACAUUGCGCCCUUUGGUAUUCCGAAGGACAUGCCUGUUCGAGCGUCAUUUCACCACUCAAGCCUGGCUUGGUAUUGGGCGCCGCGGUCGAUCCGCGCGCCUCAAAGUCUCCGGCUGAGCUGUCCGUCUCUAAGCGUUGUGAUUUCAUUAAUCGCUUCGGAGUGCGGGCGGCCGCGGCCGUUAAAUCUUUCACAAGGUUGACCUCGGAUCAGGUAGGGAUACCCGCUGAACUUAAGCAUAUCAAUAAGCGGAGGA
rnacentral:misc_RNA from 1 species